rnacentral:lncRNA from 1 species
AACACCUGUGGGGCAUUCCUUUUUGAACAGUACCCCUUCCCUUGAUGUCUGCAAUAUCACCUUUCUUAUAGAUUAGCAUAUAUGUGGCCAAAGGAACAACUCCAUGUUUUUGUAAAGGCCUAGAGAACAUAUAUCCAGUGCCUUUCCUUUUUGCCUUUGUAUUCAUCAUUUUGGCAAAUUACUGGAAGAUGACGGUUCUGGCCAAAAGGCUGGUUUUGUUUUUGGGUCACAUUUUCUUGCUUCUCUGCGUUAGAAUCUUGGAUUAGAUGAUGGACAUGGUGAAGAUGGAAAAUAUGAGGUGCAGAGAAGUGAUGGAAAAAAGAGAAGAUCAGGAUUUCAGUUUUUUUCUGCAUUUCUCAUCAUCCCAUGAAGUCUCUUGAUAACAUAAGCCAAGUUUUCAUAUACCUUGACGUGUGUGAUACUUACGUGGUGCCAAGAACAAGAUGCAUACUCAAUAAAUAUUCAUCACUAUAGGCAAAAGCGGGCACAGAUGGAAAAUAAAAUUAUUUGAAGGAGACAAAAUCCUACUAGAGAGAAGGGGCCUGCUUCAAGCACAUAACUGGAUUCUACCUCAAGACAAUCUGCCACAUUUGAAGCUUGGAAUCUUCAAAGAGCAGAAUAGAAUGUGCUGUACUCUUUCAGGACUAAAGAGACAAAGACUUCUAGGGUCUCAAUCGACAGCCUUGGAGGAACAUGUCUAAGGAAUAGGGGUGAACCAGAGAAGACCUAGCUUACUGAAAUUACAAUGUGGUCCCAAUCCAGCUAAACCCCUGGUUGGAUUGAGGUAAUCAAUCUCUCACCCUAUCUACAGAAGAAAAGAGAAACUCAUGGUGGAGUAAGAUGCCAUCUGGAGCCUCUAUGAUUCAUUUAUAUAUAUCCUACAGAAUACAGUCAAAAUUGCUAGAUAUGCAAAAACACAGGAAAAGGUGAUUUAAAAAUCAAAACAGAAAAUAGAAGUAGACACAUCAUGUUGGAUUUAGCAGACAAUGAUUUGAAACUAACCAUGAUUGAUAUGUCAAAAAUGUAUGAAAGUUGAUAAAAAAGAAUAAGAUGUGUGUUAA